rnacentral:rRNA from 1 species
UACAGAGGGGGCAAGCGUUGUUCGGAAUUACUGGGCGUAAAGGGCGCGUAGGCGGCCUGUUAAGUCGAACGUGAAAUCCCCGGGCUCAACCCGGGAACUGCGUCCGAUACUGGCAGGCUUGAAUCCGGGAGAGGGAUGCGGAAUUCCAGGUGUAGCGGUGAAAUGCGUAGAUAUCAGGAGGAACACCGGUGGCGAAGGCGGCUUUCUGGACAGAUACCGACGCUGAGGCACGAAAGCUAGGGGAGCAAACAGG